rnacentral:lncRNA from 1 species
GGCCUAGACCACUAAGGGCCGUGACGUGGUGCCGCUGAGCUUGGACCCCGACCAGAAGAUAGAGAUUGAAACGAUGAGGAAAACGAAGUGCCUAAUCCCCGCUGGACGCUAACUGCAGGGCAAGCUCCCCAGUGUUGUAGUUGUGUUUCGGAGGCCGAGAACCGCUAUCGGGCUUCCUCGGACUCUGGCCCUGGAGGGGGGAAACGGCGAGGGAGAAGGCGAAACGAGUCUCCAGUGUGUUCUUGGGGCCUGGUGCGAGGCCCAGAGAAUUCUCUGCAGGCCUUUGCCCGGGCACUGAUUAAGGCUGCGAAGAGACGCACCGGGCUGCGGGCUUAGUAGCUUCAGGCUUCUGAAGUCAGAGGGAGGGCUGAGAGCUUACACUUCUGGAGCUCCCCGGGAGACGGCAACUACCCAACCGUGUGGGUGUGUUUGUGUAUGUGUCUUUUGUUGAGCUUCGGCUGGCUGUGUUAUUCAUUCAACAAAUAUUUAUCGAUCUUCGGCAGUGUGUCAGACAUACCUUCUUCUCAAAUCUUCACAUCAAACCUGAAUUAUCUCCAUUUAAUGAUGAGGAAACUCGGGCUCAAAGAAGUUAAGUGUUCUAGCCAAGACUGCAUAGUAAGUGGCAGAUAAAACCUCAAAGUUGGGCCGGGCGCGGUGGCUCACGCCUGUAAUCCCAGCACUUUGGGAGGCCGAAACGGGUGGAUCACCUGAGGUCAGGAGUUCGAGACCAGCCUGGCCAACAUGGUGAAACCCCGUCUCUAUUAAAAAUACAAAAUUAGCCUGGCGUGGUGGCGGGCGCCUGUAAUCCAAGCUGUUCCAGAGGCUGACAGGAGAAUCGCUUAGAACCCAGGAGGUGGAGGUUGCAGUGAGCUGAGAUCGCGCCACUGCACUCCAGCCUGGGCAACAGAGCAAGACUCUGUCUCAAAACAAAACACCUCAAAGUUUGUGCUCUUUCUACUACAUAAAAAUAUCUCUUCAUUAAUGUGGCUGAAUUCUAAGGGCCUGUGCCAUAGGGGUUACACUACACAAUAAAGUUCGAGAACAUUUGCCUGUCA